rnacentral:rRNA from 1 species
UACAGAGGUCCCAAGCGUUGUUCGGAUUUACUGGGCGUAAAGGGUGCGUAGGCGGUCGGGUAAGUCUGAUGUGAAAUCUCAGAGCUCAACUCUGAAACUGCAUUGGAUACUAUUCGGCUUGAGGUCUGGAGGGGGGACUGGAAUUCUCGGUGUAGCAGUGAAAUGCGUAGAUAAUCGAGAGGAACACCAGUGGCGAAGGCGAGUCCCUGGACAGAUCCUGACGCUGAGGCACGAAAGCUAGGGGAGCAAACAGG